CUUUUCAGAAAGCCAGCCUAUAAAAUUGGUCUCUGCAUGGGCACCCGAGAGCCGUACUCCUGAAGUACGUACUCGCUUACGUAGCACUUCACUUUUCCCGCGUGGACCAACACAGGCACAUUGGGGUGGAAAGCCAGGACGCUUACGUCCUCGUUUUUCAUUAGGCAGGCCCAGAAGACCCCCAAAGGCUGAAUUCUUAGCCAUCAACACAAAUUUAUCAGGUUGAAGUUACAAUAACCGUCACAGCUACAAAGAGGGCACGUUAAGAGGAAAGAAGCGAUACUGCUGCAUUUGUGAAACUCUCGACAAAUUUCAACAGCAAUAUCAGCAACGUAAAGAUUUUGUUACCCCGAAAUACCACAUACUUGCACCUUAAGUGCUUCCGUUUAAGAAAAUGUAAUUUACCAAACUCAUUCAAGAUACAGAAAGCCCGAAUGCCUGAAUAACUGUUAAAGAAACUGAAGCAGUUGUUAAAAAAAAAAAAAGAAAAAAAGAAAUCUUUCCUAAAGAAACCCAAAUCCAAAACCAAACACCAGGCCUUGAUAGUUUUAUAGGUAAGUUCUACCAAACUUUAAAGGUACAAAUCAUUCCAAUAUUAUACAAAGUCUUUCAGAGAAGUCAUCAAGG